UACACUUCUCGGCCUUUUGGCUAAGAUCAAGUGCAGUAUACUUAUAGAUAGAUUAUACUUUUAGAUGUGUGUCCACAGAUAUAUAAAUGUCUUUGUAUUUAUGAGUAUGUGUAUACGUUAU
rnacentral:snRNA from 1 species